AGUUGGCAAUAUGGUGACCACAGUGACGAUCUUCUUGACCCUUUGGGUGACUUUUCCUGGAACUCUUCCUGGAAAACACCAUUAUCUGAGUAACUCAGGCAGCCAUGAGAGACUACCCAUUCUCACAUUUCCAAAGGUCUACCUUCCAAUGCCCCCACGCUUUGCAGUGCCUGUCUGGCCGGCCUUUCCAGCCGCCCUCCCUCAGCCAGUUCCCCCUCCCUCACCAAAUCCAUUGCCCAUGCCAACCCCUACUCCUGCCACCACCCCGCGAGGUGACAACUGAUAAAAUGGCCUUGAUCCCCUCAGAUGCUCCCUAAUCUUUUUUUGUGACAAUGAGUGAUUUGUACUUACUAGUCAAUGAACCUAGAAUUAAACUGCCACAAACUGCAAACUCAGAUUUAAAAAAGGCCCUUCUCUUUUAAUCUUACAUGCACGAGUGCAUAUUACAAGUAAAGUAUAGAACACAGCCCUUGCUAAAAAGAAAAUUAUUUUGAUUGUUUUGUGCAAUUGUACUGAACAAAAAUGCUAUUUUGAUGCAUUAGAUGCCUUUUUGUUUCAUAUUUUCUUUAUAACUAGUAUUGGAACUUAUAAACCUUUUUCACAAGAGUUUUACUCUUCAGCAAAUUACAUGACCAUCUGUUUCACUGUCAGCCAAUAACAGUUUACAUUGCUGCAUGACUCCAAAACAAGGGCCUUGUCACAGUGACGAAUGUAGCAUUAGUCUGCAAAACUCAGAAGCUUCCAUUUCCAUGAAGUAUGAUCUUACUCUGGCUUUCCAGGUAUUGGCAGAACCUGAUAUGAACCUUGGCAUCUGUUCAGUAAUGAUAGCUGUCACUUGGUCUCCUGCCUAAACGCUAUUAUUAUGGGAUUACUGUAAACCAUGACUUGUGAAGACCUGACCCAUCCAGGGCUGAUGAGUAAUAUACUUUUUGUUGGCUUCCUUGGCGGUUUGUCUGACUCCAUAAUCUUGCAGAAAACAAUAACAUAGCUGAUAUUUAGUUGGGAACAGUUACACCAUUUAAUUUUGCUUGUGUAAAAAUAGGUAUACAUAUCUAAUCCAGCUGUUUUUGUGUGAUGUUUAAACAUAUUGAAAAUAUUACACUUUGGUAAUUGAUUUUUCUGAGCAGUCAUGACGGCUCAGUGGGCAGUACUGCUGCUUCACACCUCUAGUGUUGAGGGCUAAAGUUCCACCUUUGUGCUGCAUUUGUUUAGUUGCAUGAUCUCACUGUUUUGCAUGGGUUCCUCCUGCAGUCAAAAGACAUGCAGGGUGUAUCCCAGGCCCAUGCCCUGUGAUAGACUGGCAUCCCAUCCAGGGUGUACCCCAGCCCCGUGCCCCUGUGAUGGACUGGCAUCCCAUCCAGGGCAACCCCCAGCCACAUGCCCUGUGAUGGACUGGCAUCCCGUGCAGUGUGUACCCCAGCCCUGUGCCCUUUUGUGAUUAGAAGAUGGAUGGAAGUUUUCUGAACACCACCAGUAGCUUUACCCUCAAAUAUUGUAUAUGGCACAUAAUAUGAAUUAAAAUUUAUUCUACAUGAAAAUUA